rnacentral:rRNA from 1 species
GCUACCAUGCAGUCGACGGUAGCACAGAGAGCUUGCUCUCGGGUGACGAGUGGCGGACGGGUGAGUAAUGUCUGGGAAACUGCCUGAUGGAGGGGGAUAACUACUGGAAACGGUAGCUAAUACCGCAUAACGUCGCAAGACCAAAGAGGGGGACCUUCGGGCCUCUUGCCAUCAGAUGUGCCCAGAUGGGAUUAGCUAGUAGGUGGGGUAACGGCUCACCUAGGCGACGAUCCCUAGCUGGUCUGAGAGGAUGACCAGCCACACUGGAACUGAGACACGGUCCAGACUCCUACGGGAGGCAGCAGUGGGGAAUAUUGCACAAUGGGCGCAAGCCUGAUGCAGCCAUGCCGCGUGUAUGAAGAAGGCCUUCGGGUUGUAAAGUACUUUCAGCGGGGAGGAAGGUGUUGUGGUUAAUAACCACAGCAAUUGACGUUACCCGCAGAAGAAGCACCGGCUAACUCCGUGCCAGCAGCC